rnacentral:rRNA from 1 species
UGUGACACAGAAGGAUAAGCGAACCCGGCAGAUGGAAAAGCCGGGCCAAGCGUCAAGGCUGAUUGGGGAGGCAAAUCCCCCCGGUUAAGGCUGAGGCGUGACGGGUAACGAAAAAUAAGUAGGGAAGUCGCUGAUUUCACGCUGUCAAGAAAAGCUUCUAUUGAGAGAGAAGGUGCCCGUACCGUAAACCGACACAGGUAGGCGAGGAGAGAAUCCUAAGAUGAGCGGGAGAAGUGUUGUUAAGGAACUCGGCAAAAUGACUCCAUAACUUCGGGAGAAGGAGUGCCCCCUCAGGGGGGCCGCAGAGAAGAGGCUCAAGCGACUGUUUAGCAAAAACACAGGUCUCUGCUAAAUCGAAAGAUGAUGUAUAGGGGCUGACGCCUGCCCGGUGCUGGAAGGUUAAGAGGAGUGCUUAGCGCACGCGAAGGUACGAAUUUAAGCCCCAGUAAACGGCGGCCGUAACUAUAACGGUCCUAAGGUAGCGAAAUUCCUUGUCAGGUAAGUUCUGACCCGCACGAAAGGCGUAACGAUUUGAGCGCUGUCUCGACAACACACCCGGUGAAAUUGUAGUACUCGUGAAGAUGCGAGUUACCCGCGACAGGACGGAAAGACCCCGUAGAGCUUUACUGCAAUCUGGCAUUGAGUUUUGGUAGUAGACGUACAGGAUAGGUGGGAGGCAGAGAAUUUGGGACGCCAGUUUCGAAGGAGCCAACCUUGGGAUACCACCCUUGUACUAUUGGAAUUCUAACAAGUGGCCGUAAUCCGGUCAUUGGACAGUGUCAGAUGGGCAGUUUGACUGGGGCGGUCGCCUCCUAAAAAGUAUCGGAGGCGCCCAAAGUUACCCUCAGGAUGGUUGGAAACCAUCUAUUAGAGUGCAAAGGCAAAAGGGUGAUUGACUGCGAGAGAGACAUCUCGAGCAGAGACGAAAGUCGGGCUUAGUGAUCCGGUGGUUCCGAGUGGAAGGGCCAUCGCUCAACGGAUAAAAGCUACCUCGGGGAUAGCAGGCUUAUCUCCCCCAAGAGUCCACAUCGACGGGGAGGUUUGGCACCUCGAUGUCGGCUCGUCUCAUCCUGGGGCUGAAGCAGGUCCCAAGGGUUGGGCUGUUCGCCCAUUAAAGAGGCACGCGAGCUGGGUUCAGAACGUCGUGAGACAGUUCGGUCCCUAUCCGUCGUGGGCGUUAGAUAUUUGAGAAGAGCUGUUCCUAGUACGAGAGGACCGGAACGGACAAACCACUGGUGCACCAGUUGUUCCGCCAGGAGCAUAGCUGGGUAGCUAAGUUUGGAAAGGAUAAGUGCUGAAGGCAUCUAAGCACGAAGCCCCCUUCAAGAUAAGAUAUCUCACCAGAAAUGGUUAAGGUCCCUGGUAGACGACCAGGUAGAUAGGCUGGAUGUGGAAGUAUGGCAACAUAUGGAGCUGACCAGUACUAAUCGACCGAGGUCUUGAUCG